rnacentral:rRNA from 2 species
CGGUUGAUCCUGCCGGAGGUUACUGCUCUGGGAGUCAGAUUAAGCCAUGCUAGCGGAGGGCAGUUCGGCUGCCCCGCGAAUAGCUCAGUAACACGUGGUCAAUCUGCCCUUGGGAUUGGGAUAACCCCGGGAAACUGGGGAUAAUCCUGAAUAGGCGGGGGUUCUGGAAAUGUCCCUCGCUGAAACGCUACGGCGCCUAAGGACGAGACUGCGGCCGAUUAGGUAGUUGGUGAGGUAAAGGCUCACCAAGCCGAAGAUGGGUACGGGCCCUGAGAGGGGAAGCCCGGAGAUGGAGACUGAGACAAGGCUCCAGGCCCUACGGGGCGCAGCAGGUGCGGAAAUUCUGCAAUGCGUGCAAGCGCGACAGAGUGACUCCCAGUGCCGAUGGUCUAACGACCGUCGGCUUUUCUGGAAUGUAAAAAGUUCCGGGUAAUAAGGGCCGGGUAAGACUGGUGCCAGCCGCCGCGGUAACACCAGCGGCUCGAGUGGUAACCGAUUUUAUUGGGCCUAAAGCGUCCGUAGCCGGACCGACGGGUCCCUUGUGAAAUCGGACGGCUUAACCGUUCGGCUUGCAGGGGAAACUGUUGGUCUUGAGGCUGGUAGGCGCCGAGGGUACUCCGGGGGUAGCAGUGAAAUGCUAUAAUCCUUGGGGGACCGCCAGUGGCGAAAGCGUUCGGCGAGGCCAGACCCGACGGUGAGGGACGAAGGCCAGGGUAGCGAACCGGAUUAGAUACCCGGGUAGUCCUGGCUGUAAAGGAUGUGAGUUAGGUGCUAGGCGUUCCUCGAGAGCGUCCGGUGCCGAAGGGAAGCCAUUAAGCUCACUGCCUGGGAAGUACGGUCGCAAGACUGAAACUUAAAGGAAUUGGCGGGGGAGAC